CACCUGAACCCUCCGGUAAAUAAAUAUUAAGGAAUGAUAAUUAGGAGGUCUAGCAACCCUCCGCCAGACGGACGUUACAAUCGCGCACAGUGUGAAGUGAUCGUUUGGCUAUCUAAGUGAUGUCAUCCAAGGGUGGCUUCUCAACCCAAAAAACAAAGAACCUGCUAGGAUAUUCAUAAGUCUACCCCUGGACUCGCUUGAGGAGAUCGCAACCGUUGUAGCAAGUUGCCGAAGAUGCGCCGCGCCCUAAUUAGUGGCGGGCAAAAGCCUCGGUGCCAGCCUUAAAGAAAGCAAUUCUCGAAAGGGGAAAGGAAGCGAGCACUUGAUCUCAAGGACCACAUUAUAAUGGAAAACGAGUCGCUGGAGGAAAAGGGGAGUCCCUCAGCCGGAUGGUGAAAUCAAAUGAG